AGCGAACGCUGGCGGCAGGCUUAAUACAUGCAAGUCGAGCGCCCGUAGCAAUACGGGAGCGGCAGACGGGUGAGUAACACGUGGGAACAUGCCCUUCGGUUCGGAAUAACUCAGGGAAACUUGAGCUAAUACCGGAUACGCCCUUACGGGGAAAGAUUUAUCGCCGAAGGAUUGGCCCGCGUCCGAUUAGCUAGUUGGUGAGGUAAUGGCUCACCAAGGCGACGAUCGGUAGCUGGUCUGAGAGGAUGAUCAGCCACACUGGGACUGAGACACGGCCCAGACUCCUACGGGAGGCAGCAGUAGGGAAUAUUGGACAAUGGGGGAAACCCUGAUCCAGCCAUGCCGCGUGGGUGAUGAAGGCCCUAGGGUUGUAAAGCCCUUUCGGCGGGGAAGAUAAUGACGGUACCCGCAGAAGAAGCCCCGGCUAACUUCGUGCCAGCAGCCGCGGUAAUACGAAGAGGGCUAGCGUUGCUCGGAAUCACUGGGCGUAAAGCGCACGUAGGCGGAUCCUUCAAGUCGGGGGUGAAAUCCUGGAGCUCAACUCCAGAACUGCCCUCGAUACUGAGGAUCUUGAGUCCGGGAGAGGUGAGUGGAACUGCGAGUGUAGAGGUGAAAUUCGUAGAUAUUCGCAAGAACACCAG
rnacentral:rRNA from 1 species